rnacentral:rRNA from 1 species
UACGAGGGGGGCAAGCGUUGUUCGGAAUUAUUGGGCGUAAAGGGCGCGUAGGCGGUGCGGUAAGUCACCUGUGAAAACUCUGGGCUCAACUCAGAGCCUGCAGGCGAAACUGCCGUGCUGGAGUGUGGGAGAGGUGCGUGGAAUUCCCGGUGUAGCGGUGAAAUGCGCAGAUAUCAGGAGGAACACCGGUGGCGAAGGCGGGUCUCUGGGCCGAAACUGACGCUGAGGAGCGAAAGCGUGGGGAGCAAACAGG